UUGUUAGUCUAUAAACAGGUAACAGCACCUGGCCAACCAUUUCUGGCCUCAGAAAGUAAACAGAAUUAGAGCUGGUAAAUAUUUAUGUGGGAAGCCUCCAAGAAAUAACAGGAUGGCAGACUAC
rnacentral:rRNA from 1 species